AUGUGCCUGUUGUGCCGCUUGUGGAGCUGCUGCCCCUUGUCAGUUGUGUGGAAUUCCUCGCACGUUGCGUCUUGCUGUCAUCGUUGUUUUCAGGCUGAUUUUCUGGGUCUUGGCAACAACGGCAAGGGCAAUGAGCGUCAAGUCAACAUGACGCAGCAUCAAGGAAAGACUCAGUCUUAUAAUGUUGGUCCCACCUUGUACAUGGACACUGGCGCCACAGAGCACGUGACAAAUGAAUUGGACAAGCUUGCUAUCCGGGAGGCCAACCAUGGUCCUGACAAGGUUCACACAGCCAAUGGGGCAGGUAUGCACAUCUCUCAUAUUGGUCAGGCAUCUCUCCUCACACAUACAUCUCGGCAGUUGCGUCUUAAGAAUGUUCUUCGAGUUCCCGCUAUUGCCCGUAACUUACUCUCCGUACCUAAACUUACUUAUGACAAUAAUGUGUUUUGUGAGUUUCACCCGUUUCAUCUUUUUAUCAAGGACCGGGCUACACGGGACGUACUUCUUAGAGGGCGCCUUCAUCAUGGACUAUAUGCUCUUGAUGUGCCGCGAUCUGUCUCUCCAGCUGUCCCUCAAGUCUUCAGUGAUGUUCGAGUGUCUCCCUCGCAAUGGCACUCUCGUCUUGGCCAUCCGGCUACACCCAUUGUUCGACAUAUUCUUCACCGUCAUGAGUUACCGUUAGUGUCUAGUAGUAAAGAUGUCUCAGUUUGUGAUGCUUGUCAGUAG
rnacentral:rRNA from 1 species